rnacentral:lncRNA from 1 species
CAGGAAAAAGCGUUCCCCUUUCUCCGUAUCCUCACAUCUUCUAUUUGUGUCCUAGUACUUAGGCACCUGCGUUAAAUGUCCGCAUGUGGUGCCUGCGUCCUGUGUUCAAACACUGGCAGGAAACUGUGUCCACAGGAGGAGACCUGGGUAUUAUCAUGAGCUAAAGGUAAGUUCAGGACAACUCGGGGGGCUUCUGCACAGGUGCCCAGCUCCAAACCUGCUCAGACUGGCUCACGAAAGGGGCCACCAGGGGAAACACCUAGCUGGGGAGGAGGGGUGUCUCCCGGGCUGGAACUAGUGUUCCUGCAAAACAGAAUGCAUCCCUUCCCUGCUUUGGGGCCCUCCCCCCUCCUCCUCCCUCCGUGGGUAGCUUCCUGCCUCUGGUUUGAGCAACUCCCUGUUGUAACAUUACCCCCCGCGCCUUAUUUACUUUGGAGCCCAGCAGGCUACAGGCCCAAAGGGAGCUGGAGGAGACUGGAGACAAGAACAGGGCAGAGUCCUGUGACCCCAAGGCUGUGCCUACAGCCCGUGGGAUCCCCUUCCACCCUCGUCACCUCCCGUGUCCAGUUUUUCACAGGGUUCUGCCAAUGCUUCCACUGAAAUGACUUUUUUUUUUAAUUUUUUUUAAACGUUUAUUUAUUUUUGAGACAGAGAGAGACAGAGCACGAACGGGGGAGAGUCAGAGAGAGAGAGGGGGACACAGAAUCGGAAACAGGCUCCAGGCUCCGAGCUGUCAGCACAGAGCCCGACGCGGGGCUCGAACUCACGAACCACGAGAUCAUGACCUGAGCCGAAGUCGGACGCUUAACCGACUGAGCCACCCAGGCGCCCCAUGACUUUUUUUUUUUUUUUUACAACAGCCUCUUUCAGAUAUAAUUCACAUACCAGACGUCCACCAUUUAAAGUGUAAAGCUCACUAGUUUUAGUGUAUUCAGGUAUGUGCCCCCACAAUCAAUUCUAGACGAUUUCAUCACCUCCCAGAGAAACCCUAAAGCUUUUAGCUCUCACCUUCCUGCCCCCACAUUCCUCUGCCCGGAGCAACUGCUAAUCCCUUUUGUCCCCGUGGGUUCCCCUGUUCUGGACAUUUCACAUAAAGGGAAUCACAUAAUGUUUGUCUAAGCGCUUAGCGUAAAGUUUUCAAGGUUCCCCCACGUAGUAGCAGGUAUCGGACUUCAUUCCUUCUUAUGGACAGAUGCUGUCUCAUCGUGCGGAGAGACCACAUUCUGUGUGCGCGGGUUUUGGUGGGGACAUAGUUUCUCAGUCCUCCGGGCACACACCCAGCUGUGGAGUUGCAGGGUCAUAAAGCAACAGCGGGUUUGACGGUCCCAAGA